rnacentral:lncRNA from 1 species
UGAAAUAUCAAAGAUUCCAAAUGGGUGACGUUUGGAGGACCAUGAAAUAUUCUGAAGGAGGAGGCAAAAGUGUGCAGAAUUCUGACUUGCUGCAAUGAAAAUGGAGCUCAGAGCUGCAUCUUAGGCCUCAACCGAGCAGAGCUUGAAAAACACAUAUAUUUAAAAAGUCCUUGGAGAUAAACAGCGUCAAAGACCUCUAGAAGAAUGACUUCAGAGAAACAAACAGCUUCCGCAGGGUCUCAACUGACCAUCAUCUGGAAGUCCGAGAUCGCCCCUCGGAAGGGAGCCAGCCCCUCCGCUGACUGUCGCGCGCUAACAAUGAUGCCCCUGUGAAUCUACUCGUGAUCGCUGAAGCGUUCAGUCCAAACUGAGAAAAUGUUCUCCUUCGAGAUUCAAUUAUGCCUCUUUAAUAAUAACAACAGCAGCCAUAAUAGCAAUAGUUGUUUUUCUCAUUUAAAAUUACAUAUUGUGAGGUAAUCCUCCAAGUUUAAUUCAUGACCAAAUAAAUGUGCCGAUGAAGAG